rnacentral:rRNA from 1 species
GAUGAACGCUGGCGGCGUGCCUAACACAUGCAAGUCGAACGCAGCAUUUCGGUGCUGAGUGGCGCACGGGUGCGGAACACGUAGCUCAUCUGCCCUCGAGUGGGGGAUAACGUGCCGAAAGGCAUGCUAAUACCGCAUACGCUCCUGUGGUGUAGCGCCAGAGGAGGAAAGAGGCAACUCGCUGGAGGAGGAGGCUGCGGCCCAUCAGGUAGUUGGUGUGGUAACGGCGCACCAAGCCGACGACGGGUCGGGGGUCUGAGAGGAUGACCCCCCACAC